rnacentral:rRNA from 1 species
CCGUGUCCAAGAGAUCGGGAUAACACCUGGAAACAGAUGCUAAUACCGGAUAACAACAGAUGAUGCCUAUCAACUGUUUAAAAGAUGGUUCUGCUAUCACUCUUGGAUGGACCUGCGGUGCAUUAGCUAGUUGGUAGGGUAACGGCCUACCAAGGCGAUGAUGCAUAGCCGAGUUGAGAGACUGAUCGGCCACAUUGGGACUGAGACACGGCCCAAACUCCUACGGGAGGCAGCAGCU